rnacentral:siRNA from 1 species
UAAAGACUCAAAUCCUAUACCU